rnacentral:tRNA from 1 species
GGAGGGUAUAGCUCAGUGGUAGAGCACUUGCCUAACAUGCACGAGGUCCUGGGUUCAAUCCCCAGUACCUCCU